CCCUGGAGCGUGCCCAGAGCAGGGCUACGGAGCUGGUGAAGGGCCUGGAGCACAAGGCCUGUGUGAAACAAGUAUCGGAGGCUCAGAAGUGCUGAGGUCAGAUGGGAGCUCCAGAGGAGACCACAAACUCCUGCUUGGAGUUGAAUAUCUCCGAGGGUAUGAAUAUCUCCAAGCACAGAAACUCCACAGCCUCUCUGGGCAGCCUUGUGCCAGUGAUUGACCACCCUCCCAGUAUAAAUAUUUAAUUAAAGAAAUAAAUAAAUUGAUAAAGUGUUACAAAUAUUGAAAUACCUAUGCUGUAAGUGUUACAGUUUGAUUUUACAUUUCCAAACACUGUAGAUACAUGUUUUCAAUGUAUUAUUUAUUAAAUAUAUAUAUAUAUAGGGUAGGAAAAAUAUAUGUAUAUAUGUAUUCACCCAUUCACAGCCUUCUGCAUCCCUUGUAAAGAAGAAAAAUGGUUGCAAGUCCAAACUCAAAAAAAAAAAAAAAGUCUUGCAGUUCACCUUUAAUAAAACAAACAGCAAUUUGUUUAAAACGUUGAUUUAUGGCACACCUUAUACAAGAUAAGAGAACCAACAACCUGUUGGAGUUCACCCUCGGCUCUUAUUAACUUUCUUUUGUGGUAGCCUGGAUAGUAUUGUACAGUUUUUAACCUGUAUUAAGUUAUAGCAUGUCAUUAUUUUAUUAUCAAAGGGAAUGACUCAGCCUUGCCACCAUUUGCAGGAUUUGAUUUCCCAGGCAACAAUACAGUUUAUUACACUGCUAAAAUUAAUUAUAUCUGCCCUGUUAAUAUAUGCUUUGGGCUCAAUAUGUGCACCACCAUUUUCAAAACAAAGGAAUUUAUGUCUGGGAUCAGGUAUCAUAAAAGAACAGCUGUAACAAAUAAAGCACAUUUCUACGUAGAUCUAAGUAGUUCCUUCUGUUAAACGUUUUGAAUGCUUUAUGUAUGUGAAAAAUGACCUAGUGUGCUUGAGCCUUAAGUAAAUUCAAGUAUGACUUAAUUUAUUAUUUGUGAGCUGUGCUAACAAUUGCAAUUUAUUUUCAGUCUAAAAUUUCAGAUUCUGAAGUAUUUGGAAGAGAAAGUUGGAAAUUAUUUGGAAAUGAGAAUGCAGUUAUGCACUCUGUAAGCUGGCAUGCAGGAUGCAGGUUUUACUGGAGGCAGCACUGAAUUCCCUAGUUUAGGAGGAAACUAUCCAGUUGGGGGCUGCUUUUCUGUCAAUUUAUUGCAUUUGACAUGUUCUAAGCAGGUUCUGUGAUUCCUAGACAUGGUGCAAGAUGAGGGAUGGAAGCGUGAGCCCAGGAGUGACUGGAGAAGGAGGGGAAGAACAGGAAUUGAAUAGGUCUGUCACGUUAGUGGCAGUGAGAUGGUCAAUUGCUUCACCUGCUCUUUAUCUUUUCCUAGAUUUUGAAUAACAAAGGGUCCCCUCUGCUUGUCAGGGAUGCUGUGUUUGUGCAAACCUCCCCUGGUACAAGCUAAAAGAAAAUGAAGGCUUUUCACUGAGAUAAAGCAAGACUCCAUAUACAAGCAAGUCUCCAGCCUUUGUUGUAAAGGAGAUAACCAAAAUAUGAAUCAAAGAUUUUCAAGUGUGAAUGUUUUGAGAUCUGAAACAAGUGGUUUCAGAAGUGUGAAUUUCCUCUUGCAGAAUUGUUAGCACACUUAAUUUCCAUUUAAGUGGUUAUUCAAAUAGUGAAUUUUUAAUUGUUUGCUGGAACAUGAAAGGUAUGAAUGAGAGCACGUGUUGGUGCCAUUAGGAUAUUGGGACUGAAAAAAACUGCUGCAGCCAUUUAGAGAACAGUUUUGUAAGUCAAGUAGCCUGCUGGCCAAUGAAACAGUUACUGUAAGUAAUCAAAAGGGAAAAAAAUGCAAGUUGAUGUUGUGUGACUUAAAACUUUCUAGGCAGAACAGAGAAUAUGACAGGAAAUGAAAAGUGUCCUUGGAAAAAUACAGGAAGGAGUGGCACAACUGAGCCUGGAAAAGCUACCAAAAAGGUAAACCUUGCAGAAGCUACAAAAAUUAUAGCAGAUGACUAGAACAAGGGAUUCUGAAUGUUUCAGGCCUGUGAGUAUGUUGUGUUUCAGUUCAAAGGAGCUGCACUAGCCUUACCCUUUGCAGCAUGUUCAGGUUCCCAGGGCUCCCAGGACUUCAGGCAUAGGUACUGGAUUUGUGAGUUCUUGCUCACCAUGACUACAUGCUGCUCCUUCAUUUUGCAUGGCUGCAUGCAUGUCUAGAAAAGCUUCUUUGGUAGAGGUCUUGGUCUUUAUCUUGAUCGUGGGAAGUUCAACUAGCCUGUUUUGGCAAGAGCACAAUCAUCUUUUGAACGUCUUUAUAGUCAACCUGGAGAGCAAAAACACAAAUUUGAUGGAGUUUUUACUACAGACAGACUUUAAACUGCAGGUAGAAGAACACCAUUGCAUUUUCUUUGCAAGUACGACAGCUGGUAUUUCCUAGACUUUGUGUCAUGGUAACAUCACAGACACGUUUUAUAUUCAGAAUGUUCUCUGUGCAUUAGUUUUCAUUACAGCAUUUGAAUUUAAUUUUUGGUGUUUUGCACCAAAGUCAGUGUAGAUUUCAAACAGCCUGUAGUGCUGCUAGAAAAUAAUACUGCUUUCAUUAAAGCCUCAGUUGAAUAAGAUGUUCUCACUCACUGUCCUGUUUUGAUUUGAGGUGAUUUGGGACCAUAAAAUGCUCCAUAAUCGUUGGGCUUUUGUGGUCCUGUUCAACUUGAAUGUACGGUCAGGAGGGGAAUGAGUCAGUGAGGUCUCACAACAGCUCUGUGAGGAUGAUACUGCAGCCAAACAGCUCGGCACCAGAGUGCAUUUGGGUCACGGAUGAGGUGUAGCUGUUUCACAUCCCAAAGGAAAAGGAAAGCCAAGGAAGUUGAGAGAGUUCGGAGCGAUGGUGCAAUCUGCGUUGGCCAAGAGCGCAUCAGUGCCAGUGGGCAGAUAGUUUAGGAGUGCUCCUGGAUCCCCAGCCCACGCUAACCUCUUACAUACCAGCACUUGUCAGUAAUGCUGGUGUGAUUUGGGUGGGAGCCUUUCUUCAACCUUUGAAAGUCGCAGCCUGAGCUCAGGUUUUCAGGUGUUCAAAAAAAGGGGAUUGUUACACACAUUAUUGCAUGCUCAGGUGUGAGGGCUGGUAGUACUGGCAACUGUCAGAAUUACCAGAGCUGCUUCUCAAUUUCAGCGACAAUUUCCUGCUGAUUAAAAAUCAAGUUGAAGAUCCUUGUGUGCUUGUUCUCUUGCGGUCUGGCUGCAUCAUAUCUGGAAAGUCAGGCAAAGUCUUGUGAUGAAAGUCAAGCUGAAUUAUUUCACUCUGUCAGUGAAAUGCAACUUUCUGUAGAAUUAGGGCAAAGUUAUUCCAGAGAAAACUUCUUUGAGGAACAGCUGCAGGCAGUAUGUGCUUCCUAAGGAGCUAAGAGCCGUCAUCCAAUGUUAGCAUGUGGCCACGAGUAGCUUUGGAGUCUUAUUUUAAAAAAAUAAAAAAUGCUAUGCAGCAGAAAAUCCCCUCCAACCCAUGGAUAUCUGCGGUGGGGGUUAGUUGUACCAAUAAAUGGGUUGCUAGGAAGAGCUUAACUACUGUCAUAAGUGCAGUGUGAGAAGGUGUGUGGAAAGGAGAUGAUCACCAAUGCCAUUUUGGGCUGUUAAUCUGAUGCUGCUUUUAAACACCGGGUUAGAAACAACCUGCAGAAUCAGUUAUGUGGAGUGUAAAUCAGCUUGUUUUAUUAUUCUGUGGGAGUUUAAGGUAAAGGAUGAGCAGGGAUGGCCUGCUAGUUUGCUAGUGAGACAUAAAAGGACUCUGUUGCUGUAUACAUAAACAUGCAGAGACCCUGAGGCAGCAUGCUAAUUUAGAAGCACCAAGACAUGACUGCCCCGGGGGAAUCUAUAUUUGUCUGUAGAUGACAUAUCUGCUUUCUUCUUUCUCUCUAAAGUCAUCAGAAGGACCACAAGUCAAUUAAAAGGCUCUGCAGCUGAUUUUCUGUUACACAUAAUUGCAAAGUUGUUUUUUAACUGCUCUGCCACACCAGCCCUGAUCAACCUGCACCGCCUUGCGCUCGCUGCAGGCAGGUAGGUGUUGUGUGGGAGGCAGAGCCUUGUAAACACACUGCCUCAGUCUUGCUGGUGUGAGACCCUGCUCUAGCUGUUUGUGGUGCUGCCAAGCGUUAUAAUUGUGCCAUUCGGAUGGAACUAUUCCAGAUCAGGUGUUUCCUGAAAGAGCAUCCUCAGGAUGCUUUUUAUUCGCACUCAGAAAAAAAUAUUUCCAAGACUAAUAUUAGGCAGAUUGGAGUUAUCGUUCCGGUUUCUGUUAUUUUUUGUUCAUUCCGAUACCUACAGCUGUUUGAACACCUGCAACAUCUACGUACUUUUGAGAAAGAAACACAUUUUGGCAGAGGUGUAUACUCCUGUGUCAGAAAUGUUCCCACGAAGCAAAUACAUUGGACUGAACCAUAAUCUCUUUUUAAAAGCUGAUUUAUCCAUAGUCAGCAGAGACACACGAAUAUUGGGCAGCUGAUUGUACCCGAUCCAUCUCGGUGUGUGUGAGGGAUCCAGAAAGACGCUCACCGUGUUCCUGUGCCUGGGCACGGCACCUGGGAACACCAGGGCUCUGUUUGUUCCCUCGAGGCACCGAUCCCAGCAGCAAGCACCAGUGAGGGAUGCAGGGUGCGAUCCUGCCCUCCAUCCUGAGCGGUGGAAGGAGAGGGCUGGAGAGCAGAUCCCCAGCACUUUGGUGCAGAAGUGUUUGCACUCUGAAUCGACAACAGAACUACGUAUUAUGCAAGAGAGGUGCAGCAAAAAUAGAAAUGACUACUUGAAUUUCACCUGAAAGGGAACAGAGCAAAGUAGAGCUUGUAAUUGUCAACAGAGGAAGACAGAAUUCGGUUUCAAGUAAUGAAAAAGCAAGUCCUGUUCUGUCACGGAGUUAUUUUCUUCUCUAUACAGCUCUACAUCAAGGUGUGAUGGUGAGAUGUACUAAACAUUCCAUUGAUUUUUCCUGCUGGGGUCGUAGUCUGAGUCACAAAAUGUAAAAUUAAGGGAGAAAAGUUGCCAGAAUCUAAACCUGGUUUUCAUUAAAAUGUGUUGUCAUUUCGCUAUAAAAUACAUCUGCUACAAUGUUCCAGAAAUUUUAGGCACACAAUAGAGUCAUAAACCGAUUUUAUAACUUGGGUAACACUGUACCAUAGACUCUUGUUUUCCCCCCCUACUGUUUGUAUUAAAUUACCUCAGUCCCGAAACGUUCGUACGCUGUAAGAAAUAAAUGGGUUGUCAUUGCAA